GGGUUGUGGCUCAGUGGUAGAGUGCUUGCCUAGCAUGUGUGAGGCACUGGGUUCAAUUCUCAGCACUGCACA
rnacentral:tRNA from 1 species